AUUGUUUUGGCAGAUUAGUGCGGUAAAUUUAGAAUUUACAAAUGUAAUUUUUUUACAAAUAAUA
rnacentral:tRNA from 1 species